AGGGCUUGGUCCACCUGUGAACAGCGUGUGGCUCUGCCGUGUUCACAGUGGCUAAGUUCCGC
rnacentral:pre_miRNA from 1 species